GCACUAAAAAAACGUACGCUCCUCUCGAUCCCCUCGACGCACGCUCCUCUCGCCGCCGCGGACCUGACAGCGGAGGGGCGAUCUCGCCGCCGCGGACCUCACAAGGAAUUCCCCUUAUCAGAUCUGGCGGAGGGAGACCCUAUGUCGAACCCUCCCUACCUCUCGUUCCUCCAUCCCCGUCGAGCGCCGCCGCCCUCUCCCCGAUCCAGAUCCGCGCCCCAUCUUCUGGUCUACCUCUUGCUGAAGUCGUGGUGUUGUGGUCAGGGCCCGAUCUCUCUGGCGGAUCUGGAUGGAGGGCGGGGGAGGGCGGGGGCGAGCUCGCCGUCUCCCUCGCGCUCGACGCUAGCGGGGACGCGGGCUUCGACGCGGCCGCCUACAUGGGCACGCUCCGGGCGCGGCGCUUCGGGAGGUGGAUGCGUUGGUCGCCGCAGAUGGCAUCCACGCACGACCUCGUGACACAGAACUUCGCCAAACUUCCGAUGGGCGUCGUGGGCGCCACAGACAUGCAGUUCAAAGGCAGAGUUCAGUUAACUCAAGCUAUUACAAUUCACUCAGUCGUGGCGUCUCUAGGGGCAGCGGAAGAACCGUGGGUGUGAUCCGUGAGCACAGACGCGCAGAUCUGUGGGGAAGCAACAUGUAGACAUGGAUGGAAGAUGGGAGACCUAGCUCUAGCUGCCUGAGCUGUCCACCGGCAAGAUGAACCCACAAGCGCCAUGGUGGACAAAGAGUUAUCUGGCCAUACAUUUUUUUUGUAACAACGCGCUGUCGGUGGCGGCAACAGUUCAGUGCGGCGAGACGGCCGGUGUGUGCGCUGGGGCACUGGCGAGACUCCCUGACAGGCAUAUUCUGGGCACCAGCAACUCCGACGACCGGAGGUAGAGGGUUAUUUGCUCGAAGAAGUACAAGAAGAGAGCAAGAGGCCGGCCUCCAAGAUCAAUGCUGAAAUAGAUGAAGAAUGCUUGCCCAACUGCAGCCAUGACAUGUGCAUCAAGUGCUACAGUCAAUGGUCAGUAAGAAUACAACGCAUGAUCCCAGUUAUUAUGUUUCCUGCCAUGUUCAUUCAACUAGAGCAAACAUGUUUGGUGUUUGGUUUAAUGCGAGCUUCGGAGAUAUCACUCAACACUUCAUUCUGGUGUUAUUAAGUGCUUCAGCAGACACAAAUGUAGCAUAUUUUUACUGAUAGCAAUGCACUAUGAGUAAUUAAGCUGGUGUGACCAUCAUUUAUUGAAAAUAUGCUGCAACCUAUGCAUCUGCUUACCAGUAUUGUCCUUGGCAACUUCAACCAAACUUUUAUUUUAGUUGAUUCCACCUUCUAUGUUUUUAGAAAUUCAUUGUUUUUGUAUGCUUAAUUGAGCAGAGCUCGUUCAUAGUGAUCUUCUGCCAAUGACACAAAUGUAGGAAUGAGAUACACAUGCAAUGUAAGAAACAGAGAAAGGAAGCUAAAAGUUGAAAGCAUUAUAUGUUUUUGUGACUAUACACAUUAGUAUUGCCUUAAAAAUUGAAUAAGGAAUAUUUUUAUUUGGUAUGUACCACAAAAUGUGUUCAUCCAGUAGGUGAUGGUUUGGUCAUUCUUCUCCAAGGUGCGGAUAUAUUUGGACUUUUGCAACUAUGCUUGUGCCUGGUUUUACUGAUUACGAGACAUCUCCAGAUGAUUGGUUAUCUGGCCAUAUUUUCCAACUGUAUAAGCUUUGUGAAAUCUUGAGAUCUUCCUCGUUUUAGCUAAUUCAGUGUUCUGUAUAACAGUGAUUUUGCAGAGAUAUUGGAUGUUAACUUAUUCAUAUCCUCAUCCUAAAGAUCAUAUGACAAGUACUUGAUAUAAUUUUGCUUUCAAAAAUGAAAACACCUAGGUGAUUAUCCUGGCUAUCAUAUCUGUACAAGCAAGAUUAUCAUAAUAACUAAGCAAUUUUUUCUUCAUGUUAUUAUACAAUGCCUAAUUUGAUUCAACAAGGAUAAUGAUACUGCAAGGCUUGAAAAUUUUAGACUAUGAUCACUUUGUAUGCCAAGCUGGAAAUUUGACGUGCCUUAAAGCACCUACAGCUGGAGUGGCAAAUCCGGGUGACUCAAACGCCCUGCGGAUGUGUCUACGAGCACUGUCCGGCCAGUCGUCAAAAAUCGCCGUCCACAUCCGUGUUUCUCAUAUCCAAUCCACAUAUGUGUAUCUCAUAUCCACUGACCUGUCAUAUCUUAGGUCUUAUAUAUGCAACCAGUAAAUUAUUUGGGAUGCCUGGCUGUAUGGGUGGCAGCCACCGUCCCUGUUAUUGCCUCCAGGGUUGGUCCGCCCCUCUUCCCAUAUGUCGACGCCGGUCAGUGUGCUCCUGGUUUCUACAGAAGUAGAGGCGACCAGGAGGGCACGUAUGGGUGUGUGCAUGGAAAGGACCACUAUGAUCAUGCUCGAUUUGCUCCGAGCAGGAGGACUAUGCAUCAAUUCCAUCGCCAUCUGUGAGAUCUCCCUCUUCAAGGAUGCGCAACAUCCAAACAUAUGGUUGCAGGACGAGGUGCACACCUGCACCAUGAGAAGUGCAUAUGCCGACUCAUCCCAGAGACCCGAACUUCAAGAACUUUCUCGUCGAGCACCUCAUGCGGAGAGGCUUUGAGAAGUUAGGUUUUCCUCGAGGAGGAUCUUCUAACCAGAAUAAACAUUCUAGCCCAAAGCUCCAUCUCAUAUGGGGACCAACAAUGUACCAUUUUGAUGAUCUCCAUUCCCUGUGAGCAACUUGAUAGAGUCGAGUCCAAGUCCUCCGUUCGGAGCUGAAGCAAGUUGUCGCCUUCGGUCAGGUCGCCCCCUAUUUUUCAUGGUGGAUGAGAUUGGAGGGUGGGGGACAAUACCUACUCUGGAGUCACUAGGUCUAAGUGUGGCAAAGUUAGGUCCAGUUAAAGAAGGAAAUAUGUUUCAUGGAGGAGAGAGUGCAGCUUUGGGAAGAGGUCUUGAGUACUUCUGAAAGAAUGAUCAGUUCAAGGCUAUGAGGUCUGAUUGUGCUUGCAGAUUGGAAUUGUUGAAAACCUUAGCCUUCCUGAUCUAGCUAACAAAGAUUUUCAUGUGGCAAUAACGCGUGGAGGAUGACGGUCACGAGCGCAUUGUCGCAAGCUCACCGGAGGGAGGCACACAUCUCAUCCAAUAGAAAAGCACGCUCCAAAAAAUCCCUAACCCUCCAUGGAGCCAUUGCUAGGGGGCGACGAGAUCAACGCCACCCACCACGACCACCGAGUUGUACAAGUGCAGAGAUUUCUUGCCUGGCGUAUAACAAUGCGUGUUCAAUGGGGUAGCCUCUUCUCACGCACAAGUCUCAAGAGAGGCAGACAUCGACAACUAUUCAGAAUAACCACAACAAAAUUCUGACACAGGUGGUUAGUGGGAGAAGGAACCUGAGACCGCAACCGAUUCUGCUGCAAGGGUGGUGUGUAGAAGAUAGUUGUAGCAAGCAUAUAAGUCACUCUGGAAAAAGUGUGUAGUUAUUGUUGUACUAGAGAUCCAUUCCGAUAUUUUCACUGAUAUGCAUGGUUGAAUAGUACUAUGUGUCAUAUGUGAGAGUAAUGUAAUACAAAAUGAAACAUGGUGGACAGGGCUUCGUGACUGAGCUGGCGAAGAAGAUGUCAGUGGUGGAAGCGGACAUGUUAUAGAAGAUGUUGAGGGUGGCACCGGAGGUAAUGGACAAAUGGGGUUCCUCGGCACCGAAGAGAAGGAUGCUGCAGCGACACCGACACGUACUGGGUUCCAUUUCCAACCAGAGAGAGCUUAUGAACGAAGAGAUAUACUAGAAGUUGAGUGCAGUUGGAGGGGCCUUAGUCCUUCUGAGCCAAGAAAAGUAGAUGGGGCCUGUCCAAGCUUUGAAUAGUAGAUGGGGGAAUGUUAAAAUAUUUUAUGAUGCCAUGGUUCUAAAUGGUUAG